UACGUAGGGUGCGAGCGUUGCCCGGAUUUAUUGGGCGUAAAGGGCGCGUAGGCGGCUCGACACGUCCGUUGUGAAAGUCAAAGGCUCAACCUUUGAAUGCCGAUGGAUACUGCCGGGCUGGAGUCCGGAAGAGGCGAGUGGAAUUCCUGGUGUAGCGGUGGAAUGCGCAGAUAUCAGGAGGAACACCGAUAGCGAAGGCAGCUCGCUGGGACGGUACUGACGCUGAGGCGCGAAAGCGUGGGGAGCGAACAGG
rnacentral:rRNA from 1 species